rnacentral:rRNA from 1 species
GACGAACCGUGCGAACGUUAUUCGGAAUCACUGGGCUUAAAGAGCGUGUAGGCGGCCAGGUAGGUCUGCUGUGAAAACUCGAGGCUCAACCUCGAGACGUCGGCGGAAACCAUCUGGCUAGAGUCCGGAAGAGGAGAGUGGAAUUCCUGGUGUAGCGGUGAAAUGCGCAGAUAUCAGGAAGAACACCCGUGGCGAAGGCGGCUCUCUGGGACGGUACUGACGCUGAGACGCGAAAGCGUGGGGAGCGAACAGG